UACGAAGGGGGCUAGCGUUGCUCGGAAUCACUGGGCGUAAAGCGCACGUAGGCGGACUCUUAAGUCAGGGGUGAAAUCCUGGAGCUCAACUCCAGAACUGCCUUUGAUACUGGGAGUCUUGAGUUCGGGAGAGGUGAGUGGAACUGCGAGUGUAGAGGUGAAAUUCGUAGAUAUUCGGAAGAACACCAGUGGCGAAGGCGACUCACUGGACAUGUAUUGACGCUGAGGUGCGAAAGCGUGGGAGCAAACAGG
rnacentral:rRNA from 1 species